rnacentral:misc_RNA from 1 species
UUUCCGUAGGUGAACCUGCGGAAGGAUCAUUAUCGUACCAAAUGUGCGGGGCAUGCGAGGGCUGUCGCUGACCCAAAAGUCGUGCACGCCCGAGUGUGUCCUCUUGCAUAAUAAUCCAUCUCACCCUUUGUGCAUCACCGAGUGGGCACCCUUCGGGAUCAUCUCGGAGGGGGGCUCGCGUUUUCCCACAAACCCCCCUUUUAAAAAUGUAGAAUGACCCCAUUUAAGCAAUAAACACAACUUUCAACAACGGAUCUCUUGGCUCUC